AAAAAGGCUGUGAACGGGAAAAGUAGGUGGGCAUACCCUUUUAAAGAGAGCUGCUGGGGGUGGAAAUGCAGCAAAGGGUUCCCUCCGAACUCGCCCGGGAGCGGUGGGGGUGAAAUUGGAAAUUGUAUGAGUAGCUCCCAACGGCUGCCUUCCGUUAAAAGGCUUUGAGUGGGCAUGGGGAAUCCCAUGUCAAAAAGGGUGGUACCGCGGAACUUAAACCUUCCGUCCCUGGG
rnacentral:ncRNA from 1 species